ensembl:ncRNA Y39B6A.84 ncRNA
CGAAAAGUGCGCCAAGGCACGAGAAAUGCGUCAAUGCACCAAAAAAGCGCAAAGGUCGAUUUUAUACUCA